AUUAUUAUUAUUAUUAUUAUUAUUAUUAUUAUUGUUAUUAUUAAAUUACUUACGAGUUUGAUUUGUCAGCAACUUCCUGCCAGCCCUCUCUCCUUGCUUUUGCAGCCUUUGCAGUGUUCACUUGCGUUUUAAUUAAACUCUGAAACUCCUGAAAUCCCUCACUCAGGAGUUCUUGCUCUGCUGCCGAAAAAUACCGAGCGCGCUCCUUCGACAUUUUCGCCGACCAAUCAGAGGGUUGCCGAUCAAUGUUUCUACUAUCGAUGCGUAGCCCCUGUUAAGCCACCCAGUGAUCUCACAUGACUUCAUCCAGCUGUACUGAUCGUCAACAACAGGUGUGUUCGGAGAACCGGGAUAGCGAGCUCAAAGUUAGCGCGAUGAUUUGGUCUUGGAUGUAGUAAGCGAGGAAAUCAACGGAGUGGACAGAAAGUGCUGAGAGGAGCCCACCGGCCUCACGCUUCACCCACAGACACGAACAGCGUGGAAUUAUUUUAUGUCAUAAGAAGAAACAUAUUCAUGUUAACACUGACCGGCCUCAGCUCCACCUUCCUCCUCCUGCUACUCUGAAGGCUUUCACUUUCACUGCUCCGCCCUAAACACAGAGGAUGCUGGGACUUGUAGUUUUUUCCUUCCGGUGUGGUCUUCCUCUUUGUUUGUUUGUUUGUGUUCAAGUCAUUUCGAUCAUGUAAACAUCAACAGAACACGUGAAGCCACACAGAGUUUGUAUGUCGAGGUGGGUAGGAGGGUUUGAGGGUUAGUCACUAUGGUCCAGCAGUCCAUUCUGAAAUUUCUCAGAGUAACAGUGUGACUAAGGAAACAAUGCUGCUCAGUUAGAAAUGGUUUGUUAGAAAUAUUAUUGUGAAUCCAGUUUCUAAUAGUUAUUGUAGGAGCCAUAUGAGUUGUUCCUUUUUUGACUAAGUGGGUUGGUUUAAAUGGACUCACUGUAUUGGUGCACGGGUGUGGGGUGUGUCUCAUGGGUGUGGUAGAUGAUAAAUGUGGUUGCACUCACCUAGUGAUGGCCAAAUGAAGCUUUCCGAAGCACUGAAGCUUGUAUUGAAAAACGGUUCAUUACUUGAAGCUUUUCAACACAGUCCUCUCCGGUGACAUCUGGUGGUGAAAACUUUGAAGAGCAGCUUGAAUCUGCAAAAUAAAACGGACUGCUCAAUUAUCACUGCUCACUCAAGAGUGGAGUUCUCUCUGAUAUUGGGCCACCGUUCCGUUGCUUUGAACAUGUAAUUGGUUUUGUUUUCUCGAUUGGGGGGCUGAAAAAAAUGUAAUGCGUAUCUGCGUAAUACAUUUUGAUCAAUAAACUUUCCCUAUUUAAACAUGCA
ensembl:lncRNA